GACGAACGUUGGCGGCGUGCUUAAUACAUGCAAGUCAACUGAAGCAGUGGUAGCAAUAUCGCUGUGGAGGUGGCGCACGGGUGAGUAACACGUAGGUAAUCUGCCUUCAGGUCUGGCAUAACUCCGGGAAACCGGGGCUAAUAGCAGAUGAUGCAGCGGCUCGACAUCGAGACAGUUGUUAAAGCUAUGGCGCCUGAAGAUGAGCCUGCGUCUGAUUAGCUAGUUGGCGGGGUAACGGCCCACCAAGGCAACGAUCAGUAGCUGGUCUGAGAGGAUGAUCAGCAACACUGGAACUGAGACACGGUCCAGACUCCUACGGGAGGCAGCAGUAAGGAAUAUUGCUCAAUGGGAGAAAUCCUGAAGCAGCAACGCCGCGUGAGGGACGAAGGGCUUUUGCUUGUAAACCUCUGUAGUGAGAGAAAAAAACCCCAAUCUUUGGGACAUGAUGGUAUCUCAAAAGUAAGCCCCGGCUAACUACGUG
rnacentral:rRNA from 1 species